GGGGAAUAUUGCACAAUGGGGGAAACCCUGAUGCAGCGACGCCGCGUGGAGGAAGAAGGUCUUCGGAUUGUAAACUCCUGUUGUUGGGGAAGAUAAUGACGGUACCCAACAAGGAAGUGACGGCUAACUACGUGCCAGCAGCCGCGGUAAAACGUAGGUCACAAGCGUUGUCCGGAAUUACUGGGUGUAAAGGGAGCGCAGGCGGGAAGACAAGUUGGAAGUGAAAUCUAUGGGCUCAACCCAUAAACUGCUUUCAAAACUGUUUUUCUUGAGUAGUGCAGAGGUAGGCGGAAUUCCCGGUGUAGCGGUGGAAUGCGUAGAUAUUAGGAGGAACACCAGUGGCGAAGGCGGCCUACUGGGCACCAACUGACGCUGAGGCUCGAAAGUGUGGGUAGCAAACAGGAUUAGAUACCCUGGUAGUCCACACCGUAAACGAUGAUUACUAGGUGUUGGAGGAUUGACCCCUUCAGUGCCGCAGUUAACACAAUAAGUAAUCCACCUGGGGAGUACGACCGCAAGGUUGAAACUCAAAGGAAUUGACGGGGGCCCGCACAAGCAGUGGAGUAUGUGGUUUAAUUCGACGCAACGCGAAGAACCUUACCAAGUCUUGACAUCCCUUGACAGGCAUAGAAAUAUGUUUUCUCUUCGGAGCAAGGAGACAGGUGGUGCAUGGUUGUCGUCAGCUCGUGUCGUGAGAUGUUGGGUUAAGUCCCGCAACGAGCGCAACCCUUAUGGUCAGUUACUACGCAAGAGGACUCUGGCCAGACUGCCGUUGACAAAACGGAGGAAGGUGGGGAUGACGUCAAAUCAUCAUGCCCUUUAUGACUUGGGCUACACACGUACUACAAUGGCGUUAAACAAAGAGAAGCAAGACCGCGAGGUGGAGCAAAACUCAGAAACAACGUCCCAGUUCGGACUGCAGGCUGCAACUCGCCUGCACGAAGUCGGAAUUGCUAGUAAUCGUGGAUCAGCAUGCCACGGUGAAUACGUUCCCG
rnacentral:rRNA from 1 species